rnacentral:tRNA from 1 species
AAUAAGGUGCCUGAAAAAAAGGAUUACGUUGAUACUGUAAUUAUGCAUUAAAAUGCCCUUAUU